AGAGUUUGAUCAUGGCUCAGGAUGAACGCUAGCUACAGGCUUAACACAUGCAAGUCGAGGGGCAGCAUGGAACUUAGCUUGCUAAGUUUCGAUGGCGACCGGCGCACGGGUGAGUAACACGUAUCCAACCUACCGUUUACUACGGGAUAGCCUUCUGAAAAGGAGAUUAAUACCGUAUGGCAUUCUAAGGUUUCAUGACAUUAGAAUUAAAGGUUUACCGGUAAUCGAUGGGGAUGCGUUCCAUUAGAUAGUAGGCGGGGUAACGGCCCACCUAGUCAACGAUGGAUAGGGGUUCUGAGAGGAAGGUCCCCCACAUUGGAACUGAGACACGGUCCAAACUCCUACGGGAGGCAGCAGUGAGGAAUAUUGGUCAAUGGGCGCGAGCCUGAACCAGCCAAGUAGCGUGAAGGAUGACUGCCCUAUGGGUUGUAAACUUCUUUUAUAAAGGAAUAAAGUAGUCCACGUGUGGAUUUUUGUAUGUACUUUAUGAAUAAGGAUCGGCUAACUCCGUGCCAGCAGCCGCGGUAAUACGGAGGAUCCAAGCGUUAUCCGGAUUUAUUGGGUUUAAAGGGAGCGUAGAUGGAUUUUUAAGUCAGUUGUGAAAGUUCGGGGCUCAACCCCGUAAUUGCAGUUGAUACUGGAUAUCUUGAGUACAGUUGAGGUAGGCGGAAUUCGUGGUGUAGCGGUGAAAUGCUUAGAUAUCACGAAGAACUCCGAUUGCGAAGGCAGCUUACUAAGCUGUAACUGACAUUGAGGCUCGAAAGUGUGGGUAUCAAACAGGAUUAGAUACCCUGGUAGUCCACACGGUAAACUAUGGAUACUCGCUGUAGGCGAUACACAGUCUGCGGCCAAGCGAAAGCAUUAAGUAUCCCACCUGGGGAGUACGCCGGCAACGGUGAAACUCAAUGAAUUGACGG
rnacentral:rRNA from 1 species